UACGAAGGGUGCAAACGUUAUUCGGAAUAAUUGGGCGUAAAGGGUGCGUAGGCGGCGCGCUAAGUCAACUGUUAAAGUCCCCGGCCUAACUGGGGGUCUGCAGUAGAUACUGGCAUGCUAGAGUAUGGAAGAGAGAAGUGGAAUUCUCGGAGUAGCGGUAAAAUGCGUAGAUCUCGAGGGGAACACCGAUGGCGAAGGCAGCUUCUUGGUACAUUACUGACGCUGAGGCACGAAAGCGUGGGGAGCAAACAGG
rnacentral:rRNA from 1 species